rnacentral:rRNA from 1 species
CAGCCGCCGCGGGAAUACCAGCACCUCGAGUGGUCAGGAGGUUUAUUGGGCCUAAAGCAUCCGUAGCCGGUUGCAUAAGUUUUCGGUUAAAUCUAUGCGCUUAACGUAUAGGCCGCCGAAAAUACUGUGCAGCUAGGGAGUGGGAGAGGUACACGGUACUCGAUAGGAAGGGGUAAAAUCCUUUGAUCUAUUGAUGACCACCUGUGGCGAAGGCGGUGUACCAGAACACGUUCGACGGUGAGGGAUGAAAGCUGGGGGAGCAAACCGGAUUAGAUACCCGGGUAGUCCCUGUCUCUUAUAC